CCGGCGCACGGGUGAGUAACACGUAUCCAACCUGCCGUCUACUCUUGGCCAGCCUUCUGAAAGGAAGAUUAAUCCAGGAUGGCAUCAUGAGUUCACAUGUCCGCAUGAUUAAAGGUAUUUUCCGGUAGACGAUGGGGAUGCGUUCCAUUAGAUAGUAGGCGGGGUAACGGCCCACCUAGUUAACGAUGGAUAGGGGUUCUGAGAGGAAGGUCCCCCACAUUGGAACUGAGACACGGUCCAA
rnacentral:rRNA from 1 species